GACGAACGCUGGCGGCGUGCUUAACACAUGCAAGUCGAACGGUAAGGCCCUUCGGGGUACACGAGUGGCGAACGGGUGAGUAACACGUGGGUGAUCUGCCCUGCACUUCGGGAUAAGCCUGGGAAACUGGGUCUAAUACCGGAUAGGACUCCUGGCUUCAUGGUUGGGGGUGGAAAGCUUUUGCGGUGUGGGAUGGGCCCGCGGCCUAUCAGCUUGUUGGUGGGGUAAUGGCCUACCAAGGCGACGACGGGUAGCCGGCCUGAGAGGGGGACCGGUCACACUGCGACUGAGAUACGGCCCAGACUCGAACGUGAGGAAGCGGUGGGGAAUAUGGCACAAUGGGCGCAAGCCUGAGGCAGCGACGCCGCGUGAGGAAUGACGGCCUUCGGGUUGUAAACCUCUUUCAGCUAUGACGAAGCGCAAGUGACGGUAGUAGCAGAAGAAGGACCGGCCAACUACGUGCCAGCCGCCGCCGUAA
rnacentral:rRNA from 1 species